GGAGAGGUGCCGGAGUCCGGUCGAACGGGCCUCCCUGCUAAGGAGGUGACGGCGCAAGCUGUCCGUGGGUUCAAAUCCCACCCUCUCCG
rnacentral:tRNA from 1 species